UACAGAGGGUGCGAGCGUUAAUCGGAAUUACUGGGCGUAAAGCGCGCGUAGGCGGCUUUCCAAGUCGAUUGUGAAAUCCCCAGGCUUAACCUGGGAACUGCAGUCGAGACUGUCUAGCUAGAGUAUGGGAGAGGGAAGUGGAAUUUCAGGUGUAGCGGUGAAAUGCGUAGAUAUCUGAAGGAACAUCAGUGGCGAAAGCGACUUCCUGGACCAAUACUGACGCUCAUGUGCGAAAGCGUGGGGAGCAAACAGG
rnacentral:rRNA from 1 species